ensembl:miRNA
UCUCAUCUGGUGCCCCCGGGAUGGGACAGUGGCUGCGCCCUCUGUGAAGGGAAUGGAGGGCUCAGCAGCUGUGCCCGUGCCUGGCAGAGUGGA